rnacentral:rRNA from 1 species
GACGAACGCUGGCGGCGUGCUUAACACAUGCAAGUCGAACGGAAAGGCCCUGCUUUUGUGGGGUGCUCGAGUGGCGAACGGGUGAGUAACACGUGAGUAACCUGCCCUUGACUUUGGGAUAACUUCAGGAAACUGGGGCUAAUACCGGAUAGGAGCUCCUGCUGCAUGGGGGGGGUUGGAAAGUUUCGGCGGUUGGGGAUGGACUCGCGGCUUAUCAGCUUGUUGUUGGGGUAGUGGCUUACCAAGGCUUUGACGGGUAGCCGGCCUGGGAGGGUGACCGGCCACAUUGGGACUGAGAUACGGCCCAGACUCCUACGGGAGGCAGCAGUGGGGAAUAUUGCACAAUGGGCGGAAGCCUGAUGCAGCAACGCCGCGUGCGGGAUGACGGCCUUCGGGUUGUAAACCGCUUUCGCCUGUGACGAAGCGUGAGUGACGGUAAUGGGUAAAGAAGCACCGGCUAACUACGUG